UACGUGAGGGUGCAAGCGUUGUCCGGAAUUAUUGGGCGUAAAGAGCUCGUAGGCGGUUUGUCGCGUCUGCCUGUGAAAUCUGGGGGCUCAACCCCCAGCCUGCGAGUGGGUACGGGCAGACUAGAGUGCGGUAGGGGAGAUCGGAAUUCCUGGUGUAGCGGUGAAAUGCGCAGAUAGUCAGGAGGAACAUCGGUGGCGAAGGCGGAUCUCUGGGCCGUAACUGACGCUGGAGACACGAAAGCGUGGGUAGCAAACAGG
rnacentral:rRNA from 1 species